UACCAGCACCCCGAGUGGUCGGGGCGAUUAUUGGGCCUAAAGCGUCCGUAGCCGGUCCUGCAAGUCUUCCGUUAAAUCCAGCUGCUCAACAGAUGGGCUGCGGAGGAUACUACAGGGCUAGGAGGCGGGAGAGGCAAGCGGUACUUUAUGGGUAGGGGUAAAAUCCGUUGAUCCAUAGAAGACCACCAGUGGCGAAGGCGGCUUGCCAGAACGCGCUCGACGGUGAGGGAUGAAAGCUGGGGGAGCAAACCGG
rnacentral:rRNA from 1 species